rnacentral:misc_RNA from 1 species
GUUUGGGCGGGUAGUUGACAAUAAAUUUUAAUUGGCUUGGGGACGGGUUCAGAUUUUGAUAAUAUUAAUCGGGUUUGAGUAUGGUGAUUUUCUCUUAUACCCUCCCUUUGCUGUCUCUAGUUGGGACCUGCGUCCAUUCACUAGCCCUCCUCCAGAUGAGUUCAUAGUCAUUUGUAGCGCCCUAAAUGGAGCUCCAGAGAGGGAGAAUUCAACUGUUCGAGAACCUUGCUUGGCUAGACCUUGCCUUUUUCGGUAUUGUUUGAGCUCGUUGACGCCACCAAUUGUCUCACUGGCACUUGGGCUGCUGAUUGGAACCCUCCUCGCUGUCCAUCGCUGACGGGGAUUUUUCUGAGUUGGAAAAGAGGGUUAAAAUUGCAAUUUUCCUUUUUUUUUUACACCUAGAAAUCUGCUAUUGCAGGUUAGAGGGAUUUUUCUGAAUGAAAAUUAGGGAUUUUAUAGCAACAAUAUGAAAUUGAAAGACAGAUAUGAAACUACCCCCAAAAUUGAGGGAUGAAUGAUAUAAUUUACCAGUUUAUUCUCACUCUUUAAUUUAUUUUUUUCUUAAUUAAGGUGAAAAACCAGCAUUGUUCCUGCUACCAGGGGAUUUAGAAUUCUGUGAUAU